UACGGGGGGGGUAAGCGUUGUUCGGAAUUACUGGGCGUAAAGGGCUCGUAGGCGGCCAACUAAGUCAUACGUGAAAUCCCUCAGCUUAACCGGGGAACUGCGUCUGAUACUGGAUGGCUUGAGUUCGGGAGAGGGAUGCGGAAUUCCAGGUGUAGCGGUGAAAUGCGUAGAUAUCUGGAGGAACACCGGUGGCGAAGGCGACAUCCUGGACCGGUAUUGACGCUGAGGUGCGAAAGCGUGGGGAGCAAACAGG
rnacentral:rRNA from 1 species